rnacentral:rRNA from 1 species
AGUGAAUGCUGGCGGUAGGCCUAACACAUGCAAGUCGAACGGCAGCACAGUAAGAGCUUGCUCUUACGGGUGGCGAGUGGCGGACGGGUGAGGAAUACAUCGGAAUCUACUUUUUCGUGGGGGAUAACGUAGGGAAACUUACGCUAAUACCGCAUACGACCUACGGGUGAAAGCAGGGGAUCUUCGGACCUUGCGCGAUUGAAUGAGCCGAUGUCGGAUUAGCUAGUUGGCGGGGUAAAGGCCCACCAAGGCGACGAUCCGUAGCUGGUCUGAGAGGAUGAUCAGCCACACUGGAACUGAGACACGGUCCAGACUCCUACGGGAGGCAGCAGUGGGGAAUAUUGGACAAUGGGCGCAAGCCUGAUCCAGCCAUACCGCGUGGGUGAAGAAGGCCUUCGGGUUGUAAAGCCCUUUUGUUGGGAAAGAAAAGCAGCAGGUUAAUACCCCGCUGUUCUGACGGUACCCAAAGAAUAAGCACCGGCUAACCUCGUG